GUAAGGAAUAUUGGUCAAUGGAGGCAACUCUGACGCAGCCAUGCCGCGUGCAGGAAGAAGGCGCUACGCGUUGUAAACUGCUUUUAACCGGGAAGAAACCCCAGGACGUGUCCUGGGUUGACGGUACCGGAGGAAUAAGCACCGGCUAACUUCGUGCCAGCAGCCGCGGUAAUACGAAGGGUGCAAGCGUUAUCCGGAUUCAUUGGGUUUAAAGGGUGCGUAGGCGGAGCGUUAAGUCAGUGGUGAAAUCCUGCAGCUUAACUGUAGACUUGCCAUUGAUACUGGCGCUCUUGAGUGCGCUUGAAGUGGGCGGAAUGUGCCGUGUAGCGGUGAAAUGCUUAGAUAUGGCACAGAACACCAAUUGCGAAGGCAGCUCACUAAGGCGAUACUGACGCUGAGGCACGAAAGCGUGGGGAUCGAACAGGAUUAGAAACCCUGGUAGUCC
rnacentral:rRNA from 1 species